rnacentral:rRNA from 1 species
UACGGGGGGGGUAAGCGUUGUUCGGAAUUACUGGGCGUAAAGGGCUCGUAGGCGGCCAACUAAGUCAUACGUGAAAUCCCUCAGCUUAACUGGGGAACUGCGUGUGAUACUGGAUGGCUUGGAUUUGGGAGAGGGAUGCGGAAUUCCAGGUGUAGCGGUGAAAUGCGCAGAUAUCAGGAGGAACACCGGUGGCGAAGGCGGCAUCCUGGACCGGCAUUGACGCUGAAUAGCGAAAGCCAGGGGAGCAAACGGG